rnacentral:lncRNA from 1 species
UCCACCAACAUUUUCGUUUUAAUCUCUCAGAAACCCUCUCAAGCUAUAUAGAAACCCUCUCAACGUCUCUUCAUCUUUCGUUUUAAUCUCCAGCUUUCUUGAUGGCGUCUUCAAGGUAAUCACUUUCGUUUUCUUUUUCUUUUCAUUUUCGUUUUCUUUCAUUUUUGUAAUCACUAAUCUAUGCAUGUAAUCAUUUUUUUCUUUUCCAUAGCAAUCACUCUGCCUCGAACUCGGUAACACAGCCCAUAUAUACAGAGAAUGUGGAGAAAUCUUUGUGCAACCUGAACGGUCACCUGGCGACCCUCCGUGAGCAGAUGGUGGAACUCACCCAGUUGACUGCUACCCUGAACAAGAUGGUGGAGCUGCUCAGGGAUUAUCUCAAAGCAGUGAUGGUGGAGCAAUCGCAACUGGUCCAGUGACUGCGUCAUGGGCGUUGAGGCGGGUUGCUGGUGGACUGGUGGACUAGGUUGAUUAAGUAUGUUUAUGUUUAUGUUUAUGUUAAUUAAGAACUUUAAGUAUGUUUAAGUAUGUUGAUGGUAUGGUGGAUUUUAAGUAUUGUUGAUUAUGGUGGAUUUUAAGUAUGUUUAUGUUGAUGGUAUGGUGGAUUUUGAUGUAUUGUUUAUGGUUUAGUUUAUGGUUAAUUAUGGUUUAGUUUAUGGUUAAUUAAGUAUUGUUGAUUAUGGUGGAUUUUAAGUAUGUUUAAGUAUGUUUGUAUGCAUAUGAUUUUAGUUUAUGGUGGUUUCGUUUUUUCAUGUUAGUGUAUGGUUUAGUUUAUGGUGAUUUAAGUAUCUGAUUUUAGUUUAUGGUGGUUUCGUUUAAGUAUGGUUAUUUUAGUGUAUGGUUUCGUUUAAGUAGGUGAUUUUAGUUUAUGGUCUUUUGGUUUCUCUGUUUGUAUUCAUCUGAUUUUGAAGUUUUGUUUCUUUCUCAGUUUUUGUCUUAAUGAUUCUUUUGAAAAACAUGUAGUGUUUACUCAAUUAGACUAAAAAGUUGCUAGUAGUGAUUAAUCUCAGUAGCGUGUAGUAGUGAUUAAUCUCAGUUGCUAGUUGCUAGUUGCUAGUUUGCUGAUCUUAAUGAAGCCCACUUGCCCACUUGUUCUUGCCCAUUUGUUCUUGCCAACAGACAAAUGCUUUAAAAUGCCAACAGACUAAAAAUCCAUAAAACUCGUUUUCUUCGUAAAUCCUUAAAAUGCUCGUUUUUUGUAAAUCCUUAAAACUCGUUUUAUUCAAACUGAUGCCCCUCCUUAAAACUCGUUUUUUGUAAAUCUUUCCCAGAGACUUUUUGAAUAAUUCACUUGUUUUUUCCAUAAUUCACCAUAGUUUUUGUUAUAAUCACAAUAAACACAAUUAGCACCAUAAACACACUUAGCACCAUAAACACAACAUAAACUGAAAGAAUUAACACAGAAGCUCAAAGAAGAUCAAUAUGUACAUGGAUUUAAAUUAGUACCAAAGAAGCUCAAUAUGUACAUGGAUUUAAAUUCAAUCAAUUGUAAACCACAGAAAAU